rnacentral:rRNA from 1 species
AGUGAAUAGAUACCCCGGUAGUCCACGCCGUAAACGAUGGGCACUAGGUGCUUGGGGGAGCGACCCUCUGAGUGCCGGCGCUAAACGCAUUAAGUGCCCCGCCUGGGGAGUACGGCCGCAAGGCUGAAACUCAAAGGAAUUGACGGGGGCCCGCACAAGCGGUGGAGCAUGUGGUUUAAUUCGACGCAACGCGAAGAACCUUACCUAGGCUUGACAUGCACGGGAAAGCUUUGAGAAACCAGAGCCCCUCUUCGGAGCUCGUGCACAGGUGCUGCAUGGCUGUCGUCAGCUCGUGUCGUGAGAUGUUGGGUUAAAGUCCCGCAACGAGCGCAAACCCCCGCUCCCACGUUGCCAGCGCGUCAUGGCGGGGACGUCUGGGAGGACUGCCGGUGCCAAACCGGAGGAAGGUGGGGACGGACGUCAAGUCAUCAUGGUCCGUUACCGUCUAGGGCGUACACACGUGCUACAAUGGCCGGGUACAGAGGGUUGCGAGCCUGCGAGGGUGAGCCAAUCCCGGAAAGCCGGCCUCAGUGCGG